UACGUAGGGAGCGAGCGUUAUCCGGAUUUAUUGGGUGUAAAGGGUGCGUAGACGGGAAUGCAAGUUGGUUGUGAAAUCCCUCGGCUUAACUGAGGAACUGCAACCAAAACUGUAUUUCUUGAGUGCUGGAGAGGAAAGCGGAAUUCCUAGUGUAGCGGUGAAAUGCGUAGAUAUUAGGAGGAACACCAGUGGCGAAGGCGGCUUUCUGGACAGUAACUGACGUUGAGGCUCGAAGGCGUGGGGAGCAAAC
rnacentral:rRNA from 1 species